rnacentral:lncRNA from 1 species
GUUAGAGUUAACCUUGUUGGUUUAGUGUUUAUCAUACUUUGUUUCCUGCAUGUAGUUGAGGCUGCGAUAGCGUGUGCAUGAAGAAAUAUGAGAACCUGUACACAUGCAAGCCAAGUUGGAUUAGUUAGUCCGGUUAGUCCUUAGUUGAGAUAGUGGAGAGUGGUUGCAUGUGCGGGCAUCCAUCCAUUGAGUAGCAUGCACGUACGUGUGCCGUUGUCUGACCGCGUUCAUCACGUACGUGUGCCGUUGUCUGACCGAGUUCAUGGCUGUUAGUGUGGCCUAGAUGUGGACCGAGUAAUCAGCUAGAGAGGAUGGUGCGGCCGAAUAGCGUGGCCCUGCUAAGAGAGGUUGUUACUCGUAGCCAUAGCUAC